UAAAAUAUAUCUUAACUACGCAUGUUCUUUUUUGUUUAUUAUUUCAACGACCGAAUCAUAUUGACUUUAAAUUGUGUUACUUUUAUCUUAUAGAAAUUAACUGUGUUAUAUGCUUGGAGUCUUUGCAAGAGGGAAACGUUGUCGCACUUUAAUGUGCUCAUAACUGGAAAUCCCUUGAUAUUUCAGUAAGUUACACUGUCUUCCUGGUGACAAAAUAGAACUUAAAUGAUGGUACUUGGAUUACCUGCUGAAGAUCCCUAUAGUGGAAAUUACAAAGGUGGAUAUGAUAUUGAUUUUCUAUACCUGCUACUUGGAUUCGUAGGACUACCAAUUGGAUCGAUAUUGAUAUGCGGUGUGCUAUACUGUGUGAGUUGUUGUUUUCAGAAGAUGAAACAAUGUGUGUGCAACAUAUUUUGUCCUCCUUCGUCACAUGGUGAUUAUGUGCUCACUACAGAGCUUCCGCGAACAGAAUCUAAACAAUAAUGACCAGUUGUUGCACUACCAUGCAUCCAUUAGUGUAAUACGUCAAUCAACAAGUAUUUGAUAUCUUUCAGCUUUCCAUGGGAUAUGCAUGAAACAAUAUUUCUACAGCAAACAACAAUGCCCUUUGUGAAGGAAACAAAAAUCAAAUCGCCAUGCAUAUAAUUCAGUGUGUAAUACCAAUACAAACAACAAGAAAUAUACCAAAUCUACUAAUUAUAUA